rnacentral:lncRNA from 1 species
GCUCUGUCCCCCAGGCUGGAGUGCAGUGGCCCGAUCUCGGCUCACUGCAAGCUCCGCCUCCUGGGUUCACGCCAUCCUCCUGCCUCAGCCUCCCGAGUAGCUGGGACUACAGGCGCCCACCACCACGCUUGGCUAAUUUUUUUGUAUUUUUAGUAGAGAUGUGGUUUCACCGUGUUUGCCAGGAUGGUCUCGAUCUCCUGACCUCGUGAUCAGCCCACCUCAGCCUCCCAAAGUGCUGGGAUUACAGGCAUGAGCCACCGCAACUGGCUUUUUCUUAAAAGCACAUUUCUUCUUGCCUUCUUUCCAUGUUCUCAUUACCCUACAGGGUAAGGCCCAAGAGGUAGAAAUCCAUUCCCAGUUUUCCAAACAAUAUAAACUUAUCAAAGAAGGUGGGAGUGAAUAUGAGAAUAACAGCUCAAUGAUAUUUUUGGCAUGGCAAUUUUGCAUUCAUCAUGGUAGCUACCUCUUCAAUAUCACCACUGUGCCUUGCCCACUCCUGUUUUAAUCAGUGGUUCCCUGCCUCCCACAAUUAUUCACACAGCCCUGCUAAAUAAUUUUCUUCCCUAUGCCUGGCAUAACAACAAAGCUCAGAAGCAGGAAGGAACGCCACUUAAAGGCAGGUCAGACAAUGAUGUAAUUGACCAAUCAAGGAGAAGUGGUAUUUCAAAGAGCCUUAUAGAGCAAGAGCCAGGCUGAUUUCUUGGGUCAGGACAUUACCAGAAAACCAGAGCCGCUAAAGCACGAAUAUCUAAAUCAAAAAUUUUUUUUCAAAUGAAUAAAAGCAUGUGCCAAUAUUACCCCCUCCUGUUAAAGUUAAAAGUUUCAUAUAGAAAUUUUAAUUAGAAACAAAUUGGAAACCAGUUUGGAAGAGGAAUCUUCACCCCACCUGAGCAAAGUGCAGGUGUAGAUUUUUGUAUGUCUUUGCCAAUUAAUUUCCUAUAACAGGAAUUUAUCAUGAAGGAAACAAAGUCAACACACAAAGAACAAAUUCUACACAUUAGGUGCUAGGGAUGUAAAGGUGAUUAAACCCAGCUCCUACUUAUUAAGAGUCAACUAGUUGAGGAGGUUUUCAACAGAGGAUUUCAUAUAAUCAUAUGCAGGAGAAUGUGUGGGUUUAUGGUUUCAGCCACAAGUUCAACAGACAGAAACGAGUUGUCUUGUUUUAUCUUCCCAAGAAAAACAAAGAACAAGUUGAUGAAGGGCUGGGACUCAAACUCGUGACUUCAAAAGAUUUAGAAAACAAUGGGACAUGGCUUUCAAAGUAUGCUCUUAAUAAAUACUCCAAGCCAUGUGAUCAGAAGUAUCUCCAGCUAUGAAUAAGAAAAGUCUAUUUCACUUAGAUUGCUGUGUUUUGAAUUCAAGAAAGAGAUCUGCUCAUAGAUGAGAAGAUCCUCAUUCCACGUUGCAGAAGCAUUGGUCAUUUUUACUCAUUUAAUAUAUAGUUAUCCAUUUUUUAAUAACAACUAUGGUAUGAUGCAUUAGGUUCCAAAGUACUCACCGACUGGGUAAAUAGCAAAUGCCAAAGUUAAUAAAACUAAAACUUUAGUCCAAGACCUCCCACAUACACCUAAAGGUAAAAAUUAUGAA